rnacentral:rRNA from 1 species
AUAAGGCGAAUUUAAUAAGGGCAGACGGUGGAUGCCUAGGCUCUCAGAAGCGAAGAAGGACGUGAUAAGCUGCGAAAAGCUGCGGUUAUUGGCACAUACGAAUUGACCCGCAGAUUUCCGAAUGGGGCAACCCGUCAGGCAGGAGGUCUGACACUGCGACAAGCAGGGCGAACGUGGGGAACUGAAACAUCUUAGUACCCAUAGGAAAAGAAAACAAAAGUGAUUCCCUCAGUAGUGGCGAGCGAACGGGGAUUAGCCCAAACCUAUAUUGUGAUUGCAAUAUGGGGGUAAUAGGACUUCGAUAUAGAUUUUACACAGUUAGAAGAAGCGUAUGGAAAUGCGCACCAUAGGGGGUGAUAGUCCCGUAUUUUAAAGCUGGGUUAGAGUUUUAGGAGUAUCCUGAGUAGCGCGGGACACGAGAAAUCUUGCGUGAAUUAGCGGGGCCCAUCCCGUAAGGCUAAAUAUGUCUGAGAGACCGAUAGUGAACCAGUACCGUGAGGGAAAGGUGAAAAGAACCUCGAACAGAGGAGUGCAAUAGAUCCUGAACCCGUCUGCCUACAAGCGGUAGGAGCCGAUAUUAUAUUGGUGACUGCGUGCCUUUUGCAUAAUGAACCUACGAGUUUUUCUAUUCGGCGAGGUUAAGGUGUUAAUCACCGGAGCCGUAGCGAAAGCGAGUUUUAAACAGCGUAUAGUCGGAUGGAGAAGACGCGAAACCAAGUGAUCUACCCUUGGUCAGGUUGAAGGUUAGGUAACACUAACUGGAGGAUCGAAUCGUUAAGCGUUGAAAAGCUUUCGAAUGAACUGAGGGUAGGGGUGAAAGGCUAAUCAAACUUGGAGAUAGCUCGUACUCCCCGAAAUGCAUUUAGGUGCAGCCUUGUAUUUUUUGACUGUGAGGUAGAGCGACUGAUUGGAUGCGAGGGUUUCACCGCCUAUCAAGUCCAGACAAACUCCGAAUGCGCAGUUCAUAUAUUACAGGAGUGAGGGCAUGGGUGCUAAGGUCCAUGUCCGAGAGGAGAAGAAUCCGGACCAUCAGCUAAGGUCCCAAAAUACCGGCUCAGUUGAAUAAACGAAGUCAAGAUGCAUAGACAGCUAGGAUGUUGGCUUGGAAGCAGCCAUUCAUUUAAAGAGUGCGUAACAGCUCACUAGUCGAGGAUUUUGGCGUGGAUAAUAAUCGGGCAUAAGUCGGUUACCGAAGCUGUGGGAUCUGCAAAGAUCGGUAGGGGAGCAUUCCAAUUUGGUUGAAGAUAAGGAUUGAUUCUUGUUGGACGGAUUGGAAAAGCAAAUGUAGGUAUAAGUAACGAUAAAGGGGGUGAGAAACCUCCUCGCCGAAAGACUAAGGUUUCCUGAUCAACGCUAAUCGGAUCAGGGUUAGUCGGGACCUAAGGGGCAGCCUUUUGGCGUACCCGAUGGCAUAAUGGGUUAAUAUUCCCAUACUAAUGGUAUGAGUGAUGUGGAGACGUAGGAGUGACAGAGGAGCCGACUGACGGAAUAGUUGGUUGAAGGGAGUAGAAGUUGAUUGGUGUAGGCAAAUCCGCACUGAGAUUCGAACCUGAUAGUACCGAGCGUAUUUAUACAAUCGGAUAUUUCUCGUAACCAUACUACCAAGAAAAUCUGCUAAACAUAUUGUACCAUUACCCGUACCGUAAACCGACACAGGUAGUUGGGUUGAGUAUACUAAGGCGCUCGAGAUAUUCGCGGUUAAGGAACUAGGCAAAAUAGUCCUGUAACUUCGGGAAAAAGGACGCCACACUGUUAGUGUGGCCGCAGAGAAUAGGCCCAGGCGACUGUUUAACAAAAACAUAUGGCUAUGCUAAAUGGAAACAUGCUGUAUAUAGCCUGACACCUGCCCGGUGCCGGAAGGUUAAGAGGAGAAGUUAUCGCAAGAGACGCUUUGAAUUGAAGCCCCGGUAAACGGCGGCCGUAACUAUAACGGUCCUAAGGUAGCGAAAUUCCUUGUCGGGUAAGUUCCGACCUGCACGAAUGGUGUAACGAUCUGGGCACUGUCUCAACCGCGAGCUCGGUGAAAUUGUAGUAUCGGUGAAGAUGCCGAUUACCCGCAACGGGACGAAAAGACCCCGUGAACCUUUACUAUAGCUUUACAUUGGAUUUGGGUGUCAGAUGUGUAGGAUAGGCCGGAGACUGAGAGUUGGUGACGCUAGUCAUCAAGGAGUCGCUGUUGAAAUACGGCCCUUUUGACAUUUGGGUUCUAACUUGUAGAUCAAGGACAAUGUAUGGUAGGUAGUUUGACUGGGGUGGUCGCCUCCAAAAGCGUAACGGAGGCUUCUAAAGGUACCCUCAGGCCGAUUGGUAACCGGUCGUAGAGUGUAAUGGCACAAGGGUGCUUGACUGGGAGACAAACAAGUCGCACAGGUAGGAAACUAGAGCAUAGUGAUCCGGUGGUUCCGUAUGGAAGGGCCAUCGCUCAAAGGAUAAAAGGUACUCCGGGGAUAACAGGCUGAUCGCUCCCAAGAGCUCAUAUCGACGGAGCGGUUUGGCACCUCGAUGUCGGCUCGUCACAUCCUGGGGCUGGAGAAGGUCCCAAGGGUUGGGCUGUUCGCCCAUUAAAGUGGCACGCGAGCUGGGUUCAGAACGUCGUGAGACAGUUCGGUCUCUAUCUGUUGUGGGCGUAGAGAUUUGCGAGGAUCUGACAUUAGUACGAGAGGACCGUGUUGGACGCACCACUGGUUUAUCGGUUGUACCGCCAGGUGCAUAGCCGAGUAGCUAAGUGCGGGAAGGAUAAGUGCUGAAAGCAUCUAAGCACGAAGCCGACCUCAAGAUAAGAUCUCAUUAGGGUGGUUAUAGACGAUGACCUUGAUAGGCUACAGGUGUAUAGGCAGUAAUGUCAAAGCCGAGUAGUACUAAUAGCCCGGAAUAUUCGCG